UGGGUCUUAUAAACUUGUCUUUGGCUCUGGAACGAGACUCACUGUUUGGCCAGGAGCUCCUCCGUCUCCUUCAGCCUACAGGCUGACCUCUAAAGAUGAUGAGGAUUUGGAAAUGUGCCUGAUCACAGAUUACUCCCCUGAAAAUGUCACUUUUUACACUGCUGAGAAGGCCACAUCUGCUGUUGUGGAGGUGGCAACAGCUGAGAACAGCGUGGAAUCGAGCUACCUGUCAACCUACUGGGCCAGGAGAGAUGAAAUGCAGUGUGGUGCCAGUCAUGUGGGCUUUGGAGAACUGGAGGGCGAGGACCCUGAAAGUGGUGCCAGCACUGUCUGUGUUACAGGGCUGUCCCUACACUUCAGGACAGAUGAACACCUGAACACAGUGUCUUUAUCACAGUUGGGCCUGAAAAUAAUUUUAAUGAAAGGAUUAAUUUUUAAUGUGGUGAUGACAAUGCUCCUGUGGAAAAAAGAAAAUUGAAAGUAACCGGAUGGUGCAGUCCAAAAAAAUCUCCUGAGGAAUCUUUGAGAGACCAUUGAGAGCAAGAGUGAACACAGGAAUAUUCCUGGUGCAAGGAACAUCUCUUGUUGUUCUUAUAUAUCACACCAACCAUUCUAUUCUAAAUUGCUUUGUUUGCAUUGCUACAAAAUUACUCAAAACUAAGCUUAAAAUUUGCAGCUUUCUGCCCCCCCCGAAUGGUUCAUUCACCUCUUUUGCAGGCAGCAGACAUUGCUAUAAAUAUAGAUUGCCAAAUAUCACUGCUACUUGCACUAAAAUGACAAUUUCUGCCUGGAGCAGUGCUGCUUGUUGAAAACUGCGAACUAAAUAUCACCUGAAUGUGAAUUUUUCCUAUUUUGGCAGAUUCAGGGUAUGCAUGUCUCUCAGGGUGCACCCCCUAGCCACCUUUUCAUGUACAAAUAAAACAAUUUGAAAAGCAAAGGGAGACUUUCUCAGGAUGCUGUGCAUCGUGUCUUGCUAUCCUUUGCUAGAUCAGAGCAAGAAAUCUCUUAUUUCCCCUAAAGGAUGUGCUGCUAUGUGUCCCAGAAGUCCUAAAUUCAGUGAAAUUGUCACCUCACUAUCACAGACAAAAAAAAAAAAAAAAAAAAAAAUUAUUAUUUUCUGAAGUCUAUCUGGCCUUACUAUUUCCUGAAUUUAAACCAGCUUCAGAUUUGGCUUUGUAUUCAGUAAAAAUACAAACCACCUUUGUUCUUUUUGUUUAGGUCUAACAACCUGAGGUUUCCCAACUUCUUUUUAUAAUCAUUGCAUAAAAAUAUACUGUAAUAUUUACCUGUACACAUGUGCCCACCUUUGGACAGUGCAUGCCUAUGACAUUCACAUGCCGCUAAUGCAUGAACUGUACUGGCACCCACACCGUGUCUUGGCAUUUCUUUAGGCCUUUGGCUGUUAUUAAAAAAUUCUUA